AUGGGACGCUUUCAUGAGAGCUUGGGCAGCUUGCAAGAGGUGCGCGAGAGCGGCAGGACAAAGGACCUCGCGUGGAGGCGGUCGCAGCUCAGGGGACUCCUCAGGCUCCUCACCGAGAAAGAGGACGACAUCUUCGGCGUGCUCCAUGACGACCUCGGCAAGCACCGCGCUGAAUCCUACAGAGACGAGCUGGGACUUCUUGUCAAGUCCGUCAACCACACGCUCCGAAACCUUGAGAAAUGGGCGGCUCCAGAGAAGGCUCAGGCGCCGUUGGUUUCUUUCCCGGCGACCGCGCUGGUGGUGCCAGAGCCGCUCGGCGUUGUGCUCAUAUUCUCCUGCUGGAAUUUGCCAUUAGGUUUGGCUCUGGAGCCACUCUCCGGCGCACUAGCAGCUGGCAACGCUGUGGUUGUAAAACCAUCUGAGCUAGCGCCAUAUACUGCAGCAUUCCUUGCUGCCAACAUACCGAGGUACCUCGAUCCUAGGGCUGUGAAGGUCGUCUUGGGUGGACCUGAAGUUGGAGAGCAACUCAUGGAGCUCAGAUGGGAUAAAGUUCUUUUCACUGGUAGUGCUCGUGUAGGGCGCACUAUCUUGACGAAAGCAGCAAAGCACUUGACCCCUGUCGUGCUUGAACUUGGUUCAAAAUGCCCAUGCAUUGUUGAUCAGCUAUAUAGUAAGAGGGAUAGGCAGAUUGCCGUGAAUCGCAUGGCGGGAGCGAAAUGGUCAGUUUGUGCCGGCCAAGCUUGCGCUGCCAUCGAUUAUAUCCUGGUCGAGGAGAAAUUUGCACCCAUCCUUAUUGGGCUACUAAAAUCAACAGUCAAGAGGUUUACCACUACACCAGAGUGCAUGGCCCGGAUCCUAAAUGCAAAGCACUUCCAGAGGUUAAGUAACUUCCUGGUGGAUGAUAAGGUGGCGGCUUCUGUGGUGCAUGGUGGUUCAGUGAACCCGAAGACCUUGACCAUUGAACCCACCAUAUUGUUAAACCCCCCACUCCAUUCCGACAUCAUGACCGAGGAGAUAUUUGGUCCACUGCUACCGAUCAUCACGGUAAAGAAGAUUGAAGAUAGUAUUAAGUUCGUCAAUUCGAUGCCGAAACCGCUCGCAAUCUACGCUUUCACAAAAAACGAGAAGUUGAAGCAUCAGAUUAUAGAUGAAACGUCCUCUGGGAGCGUCACGUUCAAUGACGCAAUUGUGCAGUACGCGGUGGAAGGCCUCCCAUUUGGUGGCGUCGGGGAAAGCGGAUUCGGACAGUACCAUGGCAAGUACACCUUUGAGCUUUUCAGCCACAAAAAGGCGGUGUUCAAGAGAAGCUUCCUGAUCGAGUUCAUGUUCAGAUACCCGCCGUGGGAUGACACUAAGACUGAGAUGUUGAGGCGUGUCUAUAAUACGAACUACAUACUUCUACUCCUCGGCCUGCUCGGCCUGAGGAGAUGA
rnacentral:rRNA from 1 species